ACUUAAUUUAGCCCUGCAGGACCAUUAUUACCAGUGUGACGGGGUGGACCGGCCCCGCACGGGGACUGAGAGGGUUAACCCUUCCCUCCUAGCAGACGAAGCCAUGCCCCUGAGGCUCUGCUGGGCAUGCUCUGCCUGGAAGUCAGGUAUAAAAGCCUGCAGAGCUGUUCAGUCAGGGCUGGCAGCUGAGGAGGAAGGAUGCUCAGCAGAGGCUCCAGCCCAGGAGCCGUUACAGCCCUUACCGGGGAGAGCUGAAGAGCCAGGAACCUGGACCAGAGGCCCACAGCUAUCGGAACCCCAGGAAGCAUCUGGUGCUGAGAGCCUUGGAGACCCUGAUGCCACAGGGACUAUGGCGACUGGUAGGAAGAGACCCAGGGAAGAAAUGGACACCAGAAGUCCCAAGGGGUCUCCUGAGGAUGUAAUGCUUCAAUGUACAGAGUUUGUUGCUCCAUGACUAAAGGAGAAUUUCUCAUCACUUGUUGCUGGAAUGGCUUUUUGUAUGGUCCAUAAUUUUUUCUUAGUUUUCCCUCCUUUCCCCUUGAUGUUCGAUCUUUUAUCUUCUUCACUUUAUUGGAACCACUUAAAAUCUUUGGAGAAACAUAGGAUCAAUUUCAGUAGUGGUUUACACCAUUGUAAGGUCUCUGGUGGUACAACUUCUUCCCAGGGGGAGUGAGUUAUGGCAAUGCAAAGUGGCUAUAGUCCAUUUUCAGAUGGUUGUAUGUUUAUGGGAGUGGGGGGAGAGGGGUUCACUGUGACCCACCAAAGUGGGUGAUGCUGUCUGAAAAUUAAUAUGCUUUGGACUGUGGGAGAUUCUCUGCCUCUGUGAGGAAGGAUCUGCCUACAGUUUUCCAGUGGAACUGAAAAUCUCCUUCCUUCCAGCAGAACAUUUGUGGGGGGAAAAAAGCAAUGGUAACAGUGCCAGCCCUCCACUGAUAUAAAUCUCUCCUACGAUGGCUAGGUCUUUACUUCAUUGCAUCUAGCUUGGUGCUUAUAUAUAUAGUUACUUGCAAAUAUAGUAUCUGGAACAUUUAGUUACGCAAGUAUUAAUUGACAAAAUUCCCUGUUCUUGACAUACUUUGAAAUCUGCUACACAAACUUGUGGUGCUUGCUACUUUUGUCAGGUCAGGGGUUUUCCAGGAAUAGCAAAAAUACCCUUUGACAUUAAAAGAAAUGAAACUUAUUGGUCCUGAUAAAGAUUUUUGUUUGAGUUGCACUUAAUCACUAACUGCAUUGGUUUCACAUACUUCUUUGCUCCUACAUAUCUUUAUAAGUGGUGGUUAUGGUGAUGCAUUUUGCAUACAGUGUAUUUCCAUUCACCUCCCUGUUGCCACUUUUAUCAACACACCCAUCAUGUAUUUAAAUGUGACCGCUGCUAUCCUGAUUAGAUUUGGAAUGUGGUGAUUACACAUUUCACAUUUUCUCACACAUUUACUUUUUCACUCACAAAGAUGUGUAUUUCACAGCUUGGUUUUGCUUGCGAUCUCUCUCACAGAGUUCACUUCCGAAUUUCACCUCUCAGAUUUUUCAUUUGCUGUUAUAAUUGCUGCUGCCUCACAUAUAUCAAUUCCAUAGAAUUAAAAUUUUGCUCAUGUAACUUUCUAGCCUCAUCGUGUGUAAUUCUCCCUCCCCACCACUGCUAUUAUGUUACAAACAGUGACCUCCCAGAAAGCACAUACAAAUCUUCAGCCAUUCAGAUGGCUUAACUGACUGAACAUUAGUGCCCUUCCCCAAAAGAGGUGUCGUGUUGGGGAGCGUAAUGUUUAGCAAUCCUGUGACAGCAGUGAACAGGCUGAGAAUUCCACUCUCAGGUAGCAAUGUACCAUCAUUUUUCCUUACCUCUUUUUGUGACUGUGUGAGUUUCCACAUCACUUAUUGUUCAGUCAAAUUAAAAUGCAUGACGUGGUGUAAUAUCCGGUCAGCCACCCUGAAGAGAACUAUUGCUGGAUGUCAGAAUGGUGCUACAGCAUUUAUGCAAUUUUUAUUUAGUAAAAGAUUGCAUAUUGUGAACAUACAUCGUGGAAUUAUACAGACUAUUACAAACAUUUGGGUUACAUUAAUUAAUCCCACUCUAUUGAAAUGUAUGAGUUGGAGUAAAAAAUCAGAUAUACAAAAGCAAAUUAUUUCUUGUUCGGAUCUCCUGAAAUACAUUUACUGCUUGCUUUUUAGGAGUUGUCAGUUGAGCAUUGAACUAGAAAGCCACAUUGCAGCGUAGGCCCAAAAUUCCUCAAUGAAGACCUGCAGAACCACCACAUUCUAUCACAGAUUGU